UAAGUGUUCAUUUGAUGCACU
ensembl:piRNA 21ur-13633 ncRNA